rnacentral:piRNA from 1 species
UAAGGAUGUUGAGACCCAUGAAAGGGAAGG